UACGAAGGGGGCUAGCGUUGCUCGGAAUCACUGGGCGUAAAGCGCACGUAGGCGGAUUGUUAAGUCAGGGGUGAAAUCCUGGAGCUCAACUCCAGAACUGCCUUUGAUACUGGCGAUCUUGAGGCUGGAAGAGGUUAGUGGAAUUCCCAGUGUAGAGGUGAAAUUCGUAGAUAUUGGGAAGAACACCAGUGGCGAAGGCGGCUAACUGGUCCAGAUCUGACGCUGAGGUGCGAAAGCGUGGGGAGCAAACAGG
rnacentral:rRNA from 1 species